UCGUUAGUAUUUUAUUGAAAAUAUAAUAUUUCUAGUUUUAAGAAGGUGUUUGGCCCUAGCGAA
rnacentral:tRNA from 1 species